ACGGGGGAAAGAUUUAUUGCUAUUAGAUGAGCCUAUAUUAGAUUAGCUAGUUGGUAAGGUAAUGGCUUACCAAGGCAAUGAUCUAUAGCUGAUCUGAGAGGAUGAUCAGCCACACUGGAACUGAGAUACGGUCCAGACUCCUACGGGAGGCAGCAGUGGGGAAUAUUGGACAAUGGGCGAAAGCCUGAUCCAGCCAUGCCGCAUGAGUGAAGAAGGCCUUUGGGUUGUAAAGCUCUUUCGGUGAGGAAGAUAAUGACGGUACUCACAGAAGAAGUCCUGGCUAACUCCGUGCCAGCAGCCGCGGUAAUACGGAGAGGGCUAGCGUUAUUCGGAAUUAUUGGGCGUAAAGAGCGCGUAGGCUGGUUAGUAAGUUAAAAGUGAAAUCCCAAAGCUCAACUUUGGAAUUGCUUUUAAAACUGCUAACCUAGAGAUUGAAAGAGGAUAGAGGAAUUCCUAGUGUAGAGGUGAAAUUCGUAAAUAUUAGGAGGAACACCAGUGGCGAAGGCGUCUAUCUGGUUCAAAUCUGACGCUGAGGCGCGAAGGCGUGGGGAGCAAACAGGAUUAGAUACCCUGGUAGUCCACGCUGUAAACGAUGAAUGUUAAAUAUGGGAAGUUUACUUUCUGUAUUACAGCUAACGCGUUAAACAUUCCGCCUGGGGACUACGGUCGCAAGAUUAAAACUCAAAGGAAUUGACGGGGACUCGCACAAGCGGUGGAGCAUGUGGUUUAAUUCGAUGCAACGCGAAAAACCUUACCACUCCUUG
rnacentral:rRNA from 1 species